rnacentral:snRNA from 1 species
AUGCUCGCUUCAGCAGCACAUAUACUAAAAUUGGAAUGAUACAGAGAAGAUUAGCAUGGCCCCUGUACAAGGAUGACACACAAAUUCAUGAAGCGUUCCAUAUUUUU